rnacentral:lncRNA from 1 species
UCUUUCAUGGUUCUUUCAACCGAAAAUGAGAAAAGAAAAAAAGUUCAUGGAAGCCAUUAGGGUUCGGCAACUUCAAGCUUUAAUUAGUAAGUGAUUUUGACUCGAUUUUUGAUAAUUUUUAUAUUUUUGAGAUCGUUACUUCGAAUGCUAGUAAACCCAUGCUUCAAUUUUCGGAAUUUAUGUUGAUUUUGUGUUUUGCCAUUGUUGAAAGUUUGAUGAUUUUUGUGUUUGAUGAUGAAAAAUAAAUAUGUAUUAAUAGAUUUUUCAUGUUUUGGUUAAAUAAUGAUUCGGUUGAUGAAUGUGUUUUCGGUUGUGGCUUAAUUGGAUAAGCUAAGCAAUGAAUAAAUCAUUGCUUGUAUAAUUGGAUUUAUUGGUGCAUUUACGAAGACAAGAAUAUUCAUGAAUUAUAGUUGAUUUGUUAAUUAUUAAGUUAAGUUUAAGGUGUUUAGUUAAUAUGACUAUUUGGUUAUGAAAUUGGUAUAAAUUAUUAUUUUUAUAUAAUUUGCUAGCCGAAUAGAUGAAAAACAAUUUGGUUUUGAAAAUGACAUUUUAGCCUGAUUCAUAGCAUGUGAAUUUGACAUAUUUCUAUUCGGCAUUGGUACUUAGUAAAUGACUAUUAAUAGUUAAAUGAGUGGUGCAUGAAUUAUUUUUAAAUACAAUGGAGAUUCGGUCAUUUGGUAAUGCUUGUAUGUACUUUUAUUAUUUUUGUCUAAUAAUCCGUGUGGAAUAACUUGACCAUUCAGUAAUGGUUGCUAAUAUUUCAUGUUUGGAUGUAUUAAUGUAUGUGCAUUAUAUGUGCUGAAUCAAGUUGUAAAUAUAUAUAUGUUACCGAUUAAAUUGAGCUUUGGAAAAUUUGUUCCGAGUGUGAAAUAAAUUGAAUAAAUGGGCUACUAAGGCCUAAGGUAAAUUCAGUCUAACACGGGUUUGAUGAGAUUUUUUGUAUUUUGUGCUAUUUGGAAAUAGGGACUAAUUUGUGAAAAUAUAAAAUAUUAGGGGGCUAAUGUGCAAAUUGCCCUUUUUAUGUGUUUUUGGGUGAAUUUGAGUAUAUGUGAGAUUAAAUAAGUUUAAUUUAUAUUAAUUUAGAUUAAGAAAAGAGGAAAUCAGAAUUGGAUCGGAAGAAAAAAAAACUAAAAUUUUCAAAUAGCCGUCCCGGUUCGUUCGUCUUCGUCCGUGGUAAGUUUUAAGUAGUCACCUUUAGUAUAUAAUUGAUGAUGCCUUGAUAUGUAUACAUUAGAUGGAUUGUGACCUUUUGGUUCUACUUGAAUUAAGUUGUGUGAUAAAUAAUUUAUGUAUAUGACAUAUAGUUGAAUGGCCACUAUGGGUUAAGCUUGAAUGGUGAAAUGGAUAUGUGAUAUUUAUGUAUGACUUUUGAACCGAAAUGUAAAUGAUGAUGUUCAUAUGGAGAUUGUAUCCGAAUGUAGCAAAUGACUACUAAUGUGAUAUGUUGAAUGAGAUGUGUUAAUAUAUGAUUAAAUAUGCAUGAUAUUUGAUGUAUAUCCGGGUUAAAUCCCGCAGGCUUAGUGCUGGUAUUAUAUCCGGGUUUUAUCCCGCAGGCUUCGUGCUGGUAUUAUAUCUGGGUUUUAUCCUGCAGGCUUCGUGCUGGUAUUAUAUCCGGGUUAAAUCCCGCAGGCUUAGUGCUGGUAUUAUAUUCGAGCUUAAAGUCCCGCAGGUUUUGUGCUGGUGACUAAAUUCAGGUUUUAAACCUAGCAAGCUUAACGCCGGUGAUUCAAGUAAGAUUAUGAAUUCGAAAGUUCGAGGUAAACUACUAUUGAUUAUGUAUGAUACAUUAUGAUAGUCAGGUACAUAUUAUGUACUCGCAUGUGAAUUGAUUUUUAAGGUGAAUUAUUAGUAUCAAAGAACGAUAUAUAUGUGUGAAUGAUUACUAUAUCUACGAAUAAGAGCAUGACCUAUUCGGUCGACGUCUGUCAUUAUAUGAAAGUAUGUGACUUAAAUUAAUUGUACGAGCUUCCAGAGAUAUCCGAGUAUCCUCUUUGUUUCCGAAUGGUUCAACUGGUAUUCUGAGAAGUAAAUGAAUAUAUAAAUGUGCAUCCGAUUCAGGUAUGUUGCAAUGUUUAUUAAAUUGAGUAAUGAAAGUGAAUAUGAUUAUGAUCUAUGGAUAUAUAAUUCAGGUACG